GAGUCCUUCUGCUUUGGGCAAAAAGAAAUGCCUCUUAUCUAGCUAUCAUGCCCCUUGAGUUCAAAUUUGAGUGGUCUUACCACUUGAAAAAAUCAGAAUUUUUCUGAACUCAACAGGAAUGCCUAAUGCAUCUCUUUUUGACGUGCAUGCAGAAAAAGGCUACAAUCGAUGUAUCAGGUUGAAAGAGUCCUUCUGUUUGAAGACUCUUAAUUUCUUGAUAUGAAGAUGAGAUAAGGGAU
rnacentral:lncRNA from 1 species